rnacentral:rRNA from 1 species
CUAUUACCAACCCCGGUAGACAUAUAUGCUAAGUAACACGGUGGCCAAACUACCCUACAGACCGCGAUAACGUCGGGAAACGGAGGCCAAUAGCGGAUAUAACUCUCAGGCUGGAGUGCCGAGAGUUAAAAACGUUCCGGCGCUGUAGGAUGUGGCUGCGGCCGAUUAGGUAAAUGGUGGGGUAACGGCCCACCAUGCCGAUAAUCGGUACGGGUUGUGAGAGCAAAAGCCUGGAGACGGUAUCUGAAACAAGAUACCGGGCCCUACGGGGCGCAGCAGGCGCGAAACCUUUACACUGCACGACAGUGCGAUAGGGGGACUCCGAGUGUGAGGGCAUAUACCCCUCGCUUUUCUGAACCGUAAGGUGGUUCAGGAACAAGGACUGGGCAAGACCGGUGCCCGCCGCCGCGGUAAUACCGGCAGUCCAAGUGAUGGCCGAUAUUAUUGGGCCUAAAGGUUACCAAACCUAUAUCCCG